rnacentral:rRNA from 1 species
UACGGGGGGGGCAAGCGUUGUUCGGAAUUACUGGGCGUAAAGCGUGCGCAGGCGGUUAUGCAAGGCAGAGGUGAAAUCCCCGGGCUCAACCUGGGAACUGCCUUUGUGACUGCAUAGCUAGAGUACGGUAGAGGGGGAUGGAAUUCCGCGUGUAGCAGUGAAAUGCGUAGAUAUGCGGAGGAACACCGAUGGCGAAGGCAAUCCCCUGGACCUGUACUGACGCUCAUGCACGAAAGCGUGGGGAGCAAACAGG